ACACAAUAAGAUGUUUUUGCAGACUCAAAUACACAAUGUCCAAUUAAUCAAUGUGAUUUUAUGGCAAAUUUAGGGAGGCACGCAGAAUCAUAUUCUUUAUUUUCACUGUUUUACAGCAGGGAGUAUUAUGGACUUAAUAAAAACAGAUGUAUGUACAAAAAUAAAGUGACAGAUCCCGUCUAAACCCGACUUCAGCUCCAUUUGGACUGGAUCUUUUUUAGAGGAGGUGGGCUAGUUUAACAAUACCUGGCCCACCCACCCAUACCUGCAGUAAUCACAGCAUAUACAUUUAUUCACAUAUUUUUAUUCUAAGUAUGCAGAAUUAGCUGCGAUCAUCUCCUGUCUGCA